rnacentral:lncRNA from 1 species
UGGUUGAGUAGCAAGCACUGUGGCUGAAAUUUGAAAUCCAGGCUUAAAUGUGCCUCAUUCAUACUGGCAUAACUACUAUUAAAGUUAAGAAGAAUAUAAAUGGAGAAAUCAACUUAAACAAAGGUCAGACAAGAAGAGUGAGUAGUUGCUGAUGCCUGAAAAUAUUUUUGCAAAAGAGAAGAGGAUCUCUUAUGCUACCUCAGGAAAACUGUCACUGCUUUUCUCUUGUCCUCUAAUUCAGUACCACAGAUCAGCAACUACUCUGAGGAAGAAAGCAAUUAAAGAGGAAUUCAGUGCCAAGCCAUGAGUACACGCAGCCCUGUGAAAAGAUCAAGUAGUGAGAAACUGAGUCCUUCUACCAAUAGUCAGUGAGAAAUUGAGGUAUCCUGUCAACAGUCACAUGAGUGAGUCAUUUUGAAAUGGAUUUUCCAUCGCCAGUCAAGCCUAUGGAUGACUGAAGUCUGAGCUUAUAGCAUGACUGCAAACUCUUGAGACUCAAAGCCAUAAUCAUUCAGUUAAGCUGCUUCUGCAUUCUUGACCGUCAACCACUG